rnacentral:rRNA from 1 species
AAUCAACGCUGGCGGCGUGCCUCAGACAUGCAAGUCGAACGAUUAAAGCUCUCUUCGGAGAGUGUAUAGAGUGGCGCGACGGGUGAGUAACACGUAAGUAAUCUAACCUUCGAGUGGGGAAUAACGUCCGGAAACGGACGCUAAUACCGCAUAAUGCAGCGGCAUCGCAAGAUGACAGUUGUUAAAGAUUUAUCGCUUGAAGAGGAGCUUGCGGCAGAUUAGCUAGUUGGUAAGGUAACGGCUUACCAAGGCUACGAUCUGUAUCCGGUCUAAGAGGACGGUCGGACACACUGACACUGAAUAACGGGUCAGACUCCUACGGGAGGCAGCA